rnacentral:tRNA from 1 species
GGUCCCGUUGUGUAGCGGUUAUAACGUCGCCCUGUCACGGCGAAGAUCGCGGGUUCGAUUCCCGUCGGGACCG